UACGUAGGGGGGCAAGCGUUGUCCGGAAUCAUUGGGCGUAAAGCGCGCGUAGGCGGCCCGAUAAGUCCGCUGUAAAAGUCCAGGGCUCAACCCUGGAAAGCCGGUGGAUACUGUCGGGCUAGAGUACGGGAGAGGUGAGUGGAACUCCGAGUGUAGAGGUGAAAUUCGUAGAUAUUCGGAAGAACACCAGUGGCGAAGGCGACUUACUGGAUCGAUGACUGACGCUGAGGCUCGAAAGCGUGGGGAGCAAACAGG
rnacentral:rRNA from 1 species